AGAGUUUGAUCCUGGCUCAGGAUGAACGCUACCUACAGGCUUAACACAUGCAAGUCGAGGGGCAGCGGGGGCGAAGCUUGCUUCGCCUGCCGGCGACCGGCGCACGGGUGAGUAACACGUAUGCGACCUGCCCCCCGCAGGGGGAUAACCGGGAGAAAUCCCGACUAAUACCGCGUAACGCCGCUGGGCUGCAUGGCCCGGCGGCCAAAGGAAGCGAUUCCGGCGGGGGAUGGGCAUGCGGCGCAUUAGCUAGUCGGCGGGGUAACGGCCCACCGAGGCGACGAUGCGUAGGGGUUCUGAGAGGAAGGUCCCCCACACUGGUACUGAGAAACGGACCAGACUCCUACGGGAGGCAGCAGUGAGGAAUAUUGGUCAAUGGGCGGGAGCCUGAACCAGCCAAGUCGCGUGAGGGAAGACGGUCCUACGGAUUGUAAACCUCUUUUGCCGGGGAGCAACGGGGUCCUUGCGAGGGCCCGAUGAGAGUACCCGGAGAAAAAGCAUCGGCUAACUCCGUGCCAGCAGCCGCGGUAAUACGGAGGAUGCGAGCGUUAUCCGGAUUUAUUGGGUUUAAAGGGUGCGUAGGCGGGCUGUUAAGUCAGCGGUCAAAUGUCGGGGCUCAACCCCGGCCUGCCGUUGAAACUGGCGGCCUCGAGUGGGCGAGAAGUAUGCGGAAUGCGUGGUGUAGCGGUGAAAUGCAUAGAUAUCACGCAGAACUCCGAUUGCGAAGGCAGCAUACCGGCGCCCGACUGACGCUGAGGCACGAAAGCGUGGGUAUCGAACAGGAUUAGAUACCCUGGUAGUCCACGCAGUAAACGAUGAAUGCUAGCUGUCCGGUUCUACGGGACUGGGUGGCACAGCGGAAGCGUUAAGCAUUCCACCUGGGGAGUACGCCGGCAACGGUGAAACUCAAAGGAAUUGACGGGGGCCCGCACAAGCGGAGGAACAUGUGGUUUAAUUCGAUGAUACGCGAGGAACCUUACCCGGGCUCAAACGCCAAAGGACAGCCGUUGAAAGGCGGCCUCCCUCCGGGGUCUUUGGCGAGGUGCUGCAUGGUUGUCGUCAGCUCGUGCCGUGAGGUGUCGGCUUAAGUGCCAUAACGAGCGCAACCCCCAUCGACAGUUGCUAACGGGUAGAGCCGAGGACUCUGUCGAGACUGCCGGCGCAAGCUGCGAGGAAGGCGGGGAUGACGUCAAAUCAGCACGGCCCUUACGUCCGGGGCGACACACGUGUUACAAUGGCCGGUACAGCGGGAUGCCAGGGCGCGAGCCCGAGCGGAACCCGAAAACCGGUCUCAGUUCGGAUUGGAGUCUGCAACCCGACUCCAUGAAGCUGGAUUCGCUAGUAAUCGCGCAUCAGCCACGGCGCGGUGAAUACGUUCCCGGGCCUUGCACUCACCGCCCGUCAAG
rnacentral:rRNA from 1 species